UACGUAGGGGGCAAGCGUUGUCCGGAAUCAUUGGGCGUAAAGCGCGUGUAGGCGGUUCGGUAAGUCCGCUGUGAAAGUCCAGGGCUCAACCCUGGGAUGCCGGUGGAUACUGUCGGACUAGAGUACGGAAGAGGCGAGUGGAAUUUCCGGUGUAGCGGUGAAAUGCGCAGAUAUCGGGAGGAACACCAAUUGCGAAGGCAGCUCGCUGGGACGUUACUGACGCUGAGACGCGAAAGCGUGGGGAGCAAACAGG
rnacentral:rRNA from 1 species